ACGGAAGGCAGCAGUAGGGAAUUUUCGGCAAUGGGGGAAACCCUGACCGAGCAAUGCCGCGUGAAUGAUGAAAUUCUUCGGAAUGUAAAAUUCUGUUAUUAGGGAAGAAAGUAUUUAUUAGGAAAUGGAUAGAUAUUGACGGUACCUAAUGAGCAAGCACCGGCUAACUAUGUGCCAGCAGCCGCGGUAAUACAUAGGGUGCAAGCGUUAUCCGGAUUUAUUGGGCGUAAAGCGUGCGUAGGCGGCUACUUAAGUCUGUCGUGAAAUCCCACAGCUUAACUGUGGAGGGUCGAUGGAAACUGGGCAGCUUGAAUACAGAAGAGGUAAGUGGAAUUCCAUGUGUAGCGGUAAAAUGCUUAGAUAUAUGGAGGAACACCAGUGGCGAAGGCGGCUUACUGGUCUGUCAUUGACGCUGAGGCACGAAAGCGUGGGGAGCAAACAGGAUUAGAUACCCUGGUA
rnacentral:rRNA from 1 species